GAUGAAGAACGCAGCGAAAUGCGAUAAGUAAUGUGAAUUGCAGAAUUCAGUGAAUCAUCGAAUCUUUGAACGCACAUUGCGCCCGCCAGUAUUCUGGCGGGCAUGCCUGUUCGAGCGUCAUUUCAACCAUCAAGCCCCCGGCUUGUGUUGGGGACCUGCGGCUGCCGCAGGCCCUGAAAACCAGUGGCGGGCUCGCUAGUCACUCCAAGCGUAGUAAUACAUCUCGCUCAGGGCGUGCUGCGGGUUCCGGCCGUUAAAAGCCUUAUUUUACCCAAGGUUGACCUCGGAUCAGGUAGGAAGACCCGCUGAACUUAAGCAUAUCAAUAAGCGGAGGA
rnacentral:misc_RNA from 1 species